AGCGAACGCUGGCGGCAGGCCUAACACAUGCAAGUCGAACGCCCCUUCGGGGGAGUGGCGGACGGGUGAGUAACGCGUGGGAACGUGCCCUUUGGUACGGAACAACUGAGGGAAACUUCAGCUAAUACCGUAUGUGCCCCCAUUCUUAGCGGGAUGGGUGGGAAAGAUUUAUCGCCAUUGGAGCGGCCCGCGUUAGAUUAGCUAGUUGGUAGGGUAAUGGCCUACCAAGGCGACGAUCUAUAGCUGGUCUGAGAGGAUGAUCAGCCACACUGGGACUGAGACACGGCCCAGACUCCUACGGGAGGCAGCAGUGGGGAAUCUUGCGCAAUGGGCGAAAGCCUGACGCAGCGAUGCCGCGUGAAUGAUGAAGGUCUUAGGAUUGUAAAAUUCUUUCACCGGGGACGAUAAUGACGGUACCCGGAGAAGAAGCCCCGGCUAACUUCGUG
rnacentral:rRNA from 1 species